rnacentral:rRNA from 1 species
CUGCCGCGUGAGUGAUGAAGGCCCUAGGGUUGUAAAGCUCUUUCCCGGUGAAGAUAAUGACGGUAACCGGAGAAGAAGCCCCGGCUAACUUCGUGCCAGCAGCCGCGGUAAUACGUAGGGCGCAAGCGUUAUCCGGAAUUAUUGGGCGUAAAGAGCUCGUAGGCGGUCUGUCGCGUCUGCUGUGAAAACCCGAGGCUCAACCUCGGGCCUGCAGUGGGUACGGGCAGACUAGAGUGCGGUAGGGGAGAUUGGAAUUCCUGGUGUAGCGGUGGAAUGCGCAGAUAUCAGGAGGAACACCGAUGGCGAAGGCAGAUCUCUGGGCCGUAACUGACGCUGAGGAGCGAAAGGGUGGGGAGCAAACAGGCUUAGAUACCCUGGUAGUCCACCCCGUAAACGUUGGGAACUAGUUGUGGGGACCAUUCCACGGUCUCCGUGACGUAGCUAACGCAUUAAGUUCCCCGCCUGGGGAGUACGGCCGCAAGGCUAAAACUCAAAGGAAUUGACGG